UACGAAGGGGCUAGCGUUGCUCGGAAUCACUGGGCGUAAAGGGCGCGUAGGCGGAUCUUUAAGUCGGGGUGAAAGCCCAGGGCUCAACCCUGGAAUUGCCUUCGAUACUGGGAUCUCGAGUCCGGGAGAGGUGAGUGGAACUGCGAGUGUAGAGGUGAAUUCGUAGAUAUUCGCAAGAACACCAGUGGCGAAGGCGGUUCUCUGGGAAUGACCUGACGCUGAGGAGCGAAAGUGUGGGAGGCGAACAGG
rnacentral:rRNA from 1 species